UGAGUCUCGCACCUCUGGGCUGAAUGCCCAGGCCAGCUCCCCUCCAAGCCACCCUGGGACUGCUGCUGGCCGAGUCCUGAGGGACAGUCUUUAUCUGGCCUUUUCUGAGGUGAGAAGAAAAUUUCUCACUCGGCUUCCUGUUGCCCCUGGGACCUGGCAUGUCCCAAACAAAGCCAACUUCCCCUUCAGAGCUGUUUCCUGUCCUCUUCCUCCCAGUGGUGGUGGGGGGGGGGCGGGGCCUCAGCCCACUCAGUGUCUCCCACCUGGCUCUGCUCCUCCUCGCGUUCCUUACCGCCGCCCUCCCUCCCAUUUCCUUGGUGAUCAAGUCCUGUGUCCCUGCCUCCCAAGUGCCUGAUCAGAAUAAAUGCUCCUCUUUCUGUCCCCACUGCUACUGGCUGACUUCAGGCCUCAUGACCUAGGGCCGGUGCUGUCACCUGAGUCUCCCCACCGGCCGGGACGCCUCCUGUCGCUCCUCCUCCAGUGGGUGCCCCACAGGCCAUCGGUUCCGUGUCACACCGCACAUCUGUCCUCGUCAACCCCGGACUGAAAACCCUGCCGAGCCCUCUCCUGUUUAAGCCCCAACACCUCCUUGGUGCCCUGGGAGGGCCUUCGAGUGGCCCCGGCUCUCCGUCCUUGUCGCCCAACACCCUGGGUGCCUGUGCUGUCCCUGCACGCUGCGGGCACGCACUCUGCGGGUCUCUACACCUUGCCACGUGCGGUUCCCGCUCCUGGACCCCUGGUUCCUCUUGCGCUGGCAAGCUCCUGUCCUCCUUCCAGGCACAACUGUAACGUCCCCUUCUCCGCCCGCCGCGAGCGUCUGGGGUUCUGGCAGCGCCCUGUACCUUCCUGCUGCCUUCCUUCGCUGGGCUCUUCUUCCCGGGCUGGAGCUGCUCUCCAGGAGUCCUGGGAAGACAAGGACAGGGUCUUACUCGUUCCUGUAAGCCGGGCGCCUGACACAGCUGCUGCCGAGGGAACGUUGGCUCAACGGAGCACUGCUUUCUCUUCCAGCGGGCUGGCCUCCUCUCUCCUUGCAGAAGCCCGAGGGAACAGGAGUGCCGGCCCCGAGGAACAACGUCCUGGCAGGAACGGGCCUGCUCUCCUUUCCCUCUGCUCAUCUGGGUGUCAGCCUUGGCCUCCAGCCUGGCCGCUCCCGCCUUCCGCGGCUCCGGCUCGGGGCUCCUGCUCCCUCCCAGCCCCUGUGACUGCACCCCACAUCACAGGAAUGCCUCCUCCUGCCCCUUGGGGGCUGGUCUCCUCCUCUCUUUGAAGGCCAGCUUUGGACUCCGCAUCCGCCUACACCCUCUCCGACCUGAGGAAGAGCCCCAGACGUCAGGGCGUGUCCCGCCGGCCCUCCCGCUGGGGGCUGCCGUCCACUCCCAGGCCCGCCCCCUGGGGCUAGUGGUCCCCGAGGAGACGGUGCCCUGGCGUCCAGCGCUCUGCCCGUGAGAAAGGGCUCCUUCUUGACUGGCUCCUGUUGGCCGUGCCCCUCUCCACACGGCCCAGAUCGAGGGGUCCAGCCUGAGAACCGCGGGUAUUUCUGACUCUGUCUUAGUGACUGGCGCUGCAGGACCUCGGGAAGCAGCUGCACACAGGGGACCCGCAGACGUGAGCAGCCACUUUGCCGCCACUGCUCGGGGUGGUGCCUGCGCAGGGAGCGUGGCACAGCACAGGGGGACUUCUGUGCGCUUCUGGCGAUGCCGCCACUUGCCUUCGCGUUACAGACCGUUACGUCACCUUUGGCUGGGGGCGGGAGAUGCUCGGCUCCACGUCUGCGGCACUCCUGAGCCCUCGGGUCUACGUCCUCUUUAGCGUCCUCAGUCUCUGGGCGGAUCAGCAACGACCCGGGCCCCAGGCCCCCUCCGCAGCUGGAGGGGGCCUUCCCGACAUCAGGCCAUGGCCCAGUGAAUGGGUCCAGCUUACUUGUUUGAGAGAUUCAGGAGUGGGGCCUGGGUGCGGGGGUGGGGGUCUGGAGCGAGUGUUGCCAUCCCGUAACCGGGGUUACAGGGCUCGGAUGACAGGACUGAUGGGCUCUGCGUGUAGGGCCCGUUCAGCCGCCUCUUGAGUAUCUGUGUGCUCUCUGUGGCGACUUUACAGAGUGCAGAGAGGAUGUGAAGAGUCAGGAGCAAGGGACGCCCAUAAGGCAUCACCUGGAGGCAAGAAGGUUCACGAGUUCACGAGUGGGGCGUGUCUCCCCUGCUCUUUUUCUACACGUUUCUCCUUUACUCGCUGGAGUGCGUGCAGGGUUACCAUUGGGCCUUACAUCUUCUCACUCACGUUAAGUGUUACCCCAGGUUCUGAAGGAUUCCUCGGCAGGCAUCUCACUAAGCCCUGCACCUGGUUCUGGAGGAUAGUGGAUCGCAGCCUCUCCCUGCUCAAGACCAACUGACAGAUCCUCGGGAACGGCCCUGCGUACCUUGGACCAGUGACAGCCUCUGCUCAGAAACCCCAGCCCAGGGGUCCUCCUGAAGCAGCCGCAGAGACAGAGUUUAUUGCGUCUCCCACAUCAGGGUCAAGCUGGGCCCGGUGUCCAACAGCCUCCAGCUGUCUGGUUGUCCCGCUUCCCGGUGUUGGGUCUCGCCCAGCGCGGAGCCCGAGGUCCCUUUGGGAGGGGCUGGGGGGGUCAUACGAGUGCCUGCUUGCAGUGGUGUUACAGCGUCCUUCCCCCUGGGGACCCGCCACGUCCCUGGUCCGUGGUUCCACGUCUGAGAACUGGCUCAGGGGCCAGGACCUGGGCGAGGGAUCAUGACUUGUUCGCUGGGGCGGCUGCCCUCGGCCUCCUGCCGCCCGUCCUUGCUCUUUUGAGUGUCCGUUUUAGACUGUAUCUUGGUCGGUUGCCCAUCCAUCGAGCCCCCGGGAAGCCGUGUUGUACUGACCACCUGCCCCGCUCGGUGGGUCGGGCCUCCUGGUCAGUGGCGGCCAUCGUCAGAGCCCCUGGUUUCUGGCCGCUCAGUGGCGCCCCACGACCUCUGCUGCAGUCCCUGGGCGGCGGGGGAGGGCAGGGGGUCAUCCCUUUCCUCCCUCACCAGGCCUGGCGCGCCCGGCCUGUGUUGUGAGGUGACUUCGCUCUGCUUGGGGGCCUGGCAGUAGGCUGACCACCUCGCCCCAUUUUUCCUGCGCGCUGCUGCUUGUAGCGCUUCACGUCCCACAGCAAAUUGGGGCGGCUGGCUACCCUGUCUCCUGGGACGGAGGGCACCUGUGGGGAAGGACUCGGGUCAUGUUUGCUCCCUCGGGGGUGAGGCGGGGACACCAGCUCUUUAGGGGGAGGGGUGGGCCACUGCCGCAGGCUCAGAAGGUCAGCGACAUCUGGGGAGUCCCGGUCUUCUGGGGCUUCCUCCCAGUCUCCCUGGUCCUCGUGUCAAGGGUGCAGGUUUUCCCAAGUGGGCUUCCGAUGCUGGUGGGACAGACGUGCCUCGGUUGAACAGUCAGCGUCUUUGAGCUUCAGCCACUUCUCUCGAAUCCUGGGUUGGACGAUUGUCCGCUGCCUGAGAUGGGGGCUCCUUUGUAAGGCCGCCUCCUUCUCCCGGCUUGUGAUGAGCUUUCCAAUUCUUGUUCCUGACUUCAGAAAGAAGAUUAGAGAGAUGACGGAGUUUGCCGAGAGAAGGGAACUAAAUCUAAAAGAGUGAAUCCAUCUGUCCUGAUUCUCCAACUGCCUUGCCUUCAUGUUCUGGGGAUUCAGAAUCUGGACGUCAUGGCCCACUCACUGAAUUGGGAAUUUCUAAGUCCCUUGGAGUCCAAAAGAAAGACCAUUCCAGAUGUCAGCUGCAUGAGUCCCUGCCACUCUCCUGAAUAAGCUUCCAGGCAUUACCUACAUGUUGUGUUCCUGUGGAGGGAUGGCAGUAAUCUCUGCUAAGAUAAACUGGAGCUUCUGUGGAUAAGGCGUAAAUGCAGUGAAGUGUGUGGCUGUAAGAUUUAAUGCCUCUACAGUGCUUAGAUGCAAGUUGAGCUUGGAAUUCCAGAGGUAGAGCAUUGCUGAUUGGAGGCAUAUUAAGAAAAAAGUACUGUGGAAAUGAGAUUCACAAGAGGAUCUUAUUCACAUCUUUAUUGUGAGAAUUUGGUGGAUUUCCUGAAAUUUGGGGGCUGCCCCUGUGCCUUCAGUCCUCAGAAGUUUCUCACUCUUACAGUAGUCCACAUUCUUCCUCCAGCAAUUUGUCAAAAUUACCAGUUUUGGUGUUCCUACCAGUUUAUGAUUCCAGAGCCUUCUUUUCCGGUGGCCUUCCAGGAGUGGUGAGGUGACCCCUGGGACUCACA